GUACGCCGCGGCUGUCCUCCGCACGAGCCAGUGCACGAGCCAGUGCACCUCUCCGUACUUCUUAGGAGGCAGAGGCGAGAGAGUGUAUUGAUAAUCAUUUUUUACCUUACAUGUUUUCCAGUACACCUUGUGUGGUCACACACUAUCAUCAUUUUGAUCCAACGUCAUUCCCAUUUUACAGCUGAGGAAACUGAGUCACAGCAUGCCUUCAGAAACCCAGCCCAUUCGUGUGGUUGAGGAAAUUGAAAAUGCAUCCGUUAAAUAAAGGACUGCAUGGCUUUUGUGCCCUGACAGUGACCGCUGUUUGGUGAUGAGUUAAAGCCAAAGUGGGAAGUAUUCAAAACCCAAAACAAACCAAGGCGGAGUUGCAGUGGGUGAGGGGCAGGUGAGCGAUUUCUCCAUGGGCUUGCUAGUGGCUCAUUACUAUUUCUUAGGAAAGUCUGUCAGUAGCUUCAGUAAGGGCUCUUCAUUCUUUUUACGAUGCCCACCGUUCUCAUACUAUGUUACUAUUAUUUUAUCAUUUUAAAUAGAUUCAAAGCAGACUGUGUCUUGAAAUCAACAAUCCAGGCAGCCACAGUUGUCUUCAAAGAGGUCAUCGUAUUUGCUAGUUCUUGGCAAAUUAUAGUCUAUAUAUUUUUUUCCAUUUUGAAGUUAUUCUGUUUCUGGUUACCUGACUUUAUGCAUUCUUGUUUGUUGAUAUGACUACAAGUGACUUCAAUGGGCAGAUGUUUUCCUAGAUGCAGAACUAAUUAAGUUUAGUCGAAGAUUUUAAAAAGGUUGUAAACUUCCUUUAAUCUUCAACUUUUGAGACUCCAAAUACCAGUUCUACAGCUUCUGUAAGCUGGAAAAAAAAUCCCCCCAAAUAAUAAGGAAAACAAUGUAUAAACAUUUCCCAAACUAUUCUAUCCACAAAGAAUUCCAUUUAUAAAUGGAAUACUCCCUUCGUUUCUUUGCCUUGGAGCUUGGGGGAUAGCUGUUUCUAUUUGUACAUUUUCUGAAUUUCUGCAGUUUACACUUGUUUACGGUACGUUGGGGAGUUCAGAGUAACCAUUUGCAAAUGUUUGAAGAUAUUCAAAAGAAAAUAUCCCCCCUCCUCGAUUUUCCAGGGAAAUGACAUAUUCUCUUUAAAUAAAAUAAUCAAUGGAAAAAAUGUGUACCAUGAGUAACCCAUUCAGCCUCAAUUUUUCCAUUCCUGAGGAGCAACAAGUCCAUACAACUUCCCACCUUUGUGGCUCCCAAAUUUCUUAUGUGUUUCUAAAACCAGAAAGAAAAUAUGAGACUCUGUUCCCUGGCCCCAAUUCCGUGGUGCUCUCCCCGCCUCAGCAGCAGGGGUUCCUUCCACUUUUUGUUUUCUCUGGGAGAGCUCGAGGAGGGGGCUGUAGUUUGGGCUUUCGGGAGUUUAGAGUUUAAUUAUUAGUCUGGUCAUGGAGCCACAAUCCCAGAAAGGUCUAUGUCAGAGACAGGGAGCUCACCUCGUUAGGAAAGCCAGACGGGUGCAGAUGAGAGGUAACUUUCUGCCAGUUUAGUUUGUCCUGCUGAAGUAUUAGAGAGUGCUCUUCCUGGGAAGUCAGUCCAUCCUUUGGAAAUAUUACUCUGGGUGCCUACUUUUAAAGCAAGGAAAAGAAGAAAAAUUGCCAGCGAGAAGAGAAAAUCAAUACAAAUGGGAUGUGCUCAGAUCCCGUGCCAGACUUGAGAUUUUUAACGUUCUAAUAGUUGAUUGCUGGAAAAGUUAAUUGGCAACGUAAUCCUUGAUGUUAAAGUUUCGCCGUCUGUCAGGAUGCAGAUGGCUGUCCAGUUCUGGGUAUAGGUCAUUCAAAGAGCCAGCGAGAAGCACCAGGUGUGAUCAUGCACACAGGUGAGUGGUGAGGACCUGGAAGAGCGCUUGCCGUGGUCAUUUGAGGCUGUAGAGGAGAGUUUGCUGGGAUGAACAGUGUCAAGCUUGGCUUCAGACACAGCUCAUUCAAUGCUGCGGGGUCUAUUUUAACCCUUUUGACAAGGGGAUUGAAGGAGGGUUUUAAUGUGCAGGCAUCUGGCUUUGAGAUAUUAUUCCAAUCAGAUUAUGAUGGAAUAGGAAAUGACAUAUGUGACUAGGUAUUUAUUUAUUUCAGAUGUAGCCAUAACCCUCCGUCUUCAGCAGGCCUGGGACUAGAGUGAGGAAGGGGAAGUGCUUAGUGUGCAAACUUCAAAGAGUAAUUCACUCUCCGGGUCAUGCAGGUGCAGCCCUAGUCCUGGCUCUGAUCUCCAGACCUUCGGAUCCGUGUGGCAGCUCCCUAAAGCUAGUCUGCUCCAUGGACUAGUCUUUGGAUGGCCUUCAGCAAUCCCCCCUGGAAUGUCAUGGAAAGUUUUAUGUGCCCACGCACAGAGGCAUUUUCUUGGGAGGAGAGGUCCAUAGAUUUUGGCCUCAGAGAAACUAUGCCUUACAUCUCUGAAGGAUUAUCUUAUCACCAUCUGAGUUGGAAUUUUUCUUGUUACUCUGAGGAAGCUGAAUUAAUUAUAAGUUUCCUUUAAAACUUAGAACUUAUUUUUAGCAAAUUUUGCUGUGGACUCAAUAUUGCAGAAUCCCUCUUGCAGCUACAGAAUGUAGCACUUGCCUCGGUAAGAUUGCCUUAGUGACAAAAUGCAAAAGGUUGUAGAGCUUUCUUCAAGUUACCAUGUCCUAUGACUGCCUAUGGUGAAAGAAGAAAAGGGAAGCGAGAAAAGAAACAAGCUAGACACUUCCCCAGGACUUGGAUGUUCAGAGUUUCUGCUGUGGAGGGAGACCCUGUCCUUCCAUGAAAAACCUUUUACCCUGCUGUUGAGGCCAACGGAGCCGAAUGGCGAGAGUCUGAGAAGUGCAUGGUUCAGUAGACCCCAGGGCGUCGAUGUGGCCAUGUCUGAGAGUACUGCCCAUCCUCCCUAGCUCCCUAGCAUGCUUCUUCACCUGGGGAGAAUGUGCUUGGAAAGGGGAAAGCCUUUGACCAGCCAUUAGCAAGCCAUUGCCCAGAAGGGCACUGAAAAUAAGCUCCCUGUCUGGUUUCCAGUGAAUCACUUCCUCACCGGCCUGAGCGGCUGCCUGGGCAUCAUAGUUCAAUCAUUUACACCUACCAUGGUGCAGACAAGCAUUGUGGAGGGGCAGAGGUGUUUGAGAACCAAAGUAUACUACAGCAUGGAACACUUACCUCAUGGAGUGGAACGCUUACCUCCACCCCCAACACUCCGCCUUUUCCAGACUCUCUUGUCAAAGAGACUGUGCCAAAGGGACGGAGGGUGGCCAUUCUAUUUUCCUUCCCCCUGUCCUGUGCAGAACUAUUUUGUAUCCUUCAGAUGCCAAUUUGAAUGCAUAACACUUUAUAUGUGGGUACGUGUUAAGGACAUGCAUUCUGCCUGUGUAAACUUUUUUUUUAAGCCCCAAAAGCAUAAAAGGAAUCCAUUUCAGAGAAAAAUAAAUUAGCUUUAAAAGAUAAACAAUUUAGUGCUGGCAUCAUUUAACAGGGUCCCAUUCUCAAGGAAAAGGAGUAAAUGCCGUUUUUAAAUACUACUCCUGUAGAAUUCUUCUCCAUAUUUGUGGAUUUUCACAGCCUUCUGCUUGAGGAAAAAGUCUGGUGGGGUCAGGAUUGAGGACGUGAGGCCAUUGACAAGGAGGGGAAAUACACACACACAGGUUAUUUCAAGGGCCGUUUAAAAGAUUCUAGUGAAUAGACUGGAGCAAGAGCAAAGUAUAAUGACUGCGGAAAGUUGGAAUUAGUCUCUCAUGCUUUAAUUAGCUCCUGAGUGUUCGAAACAUUCUUACAUUGGAAACCAUCAGUCGAGUUGCCCCUGAGAUCUCUUAAUUUUACGCUCUUAGGACUGAGCUACAGACAUAAGCAACAACAUGCUCAUGAAAUUUUAGCGUGUUGCCCAAAUGCACAACUGAAUAGGGAGAAGGGAACACAAGAGCAGAACUGCCUUUCCAUGUAGCCCUGGGGUCAGGAUGGCAACAAAUCAAAGCUGUUUAGGCUCCCCAGCCUCAUCCCAUUCAGAUAUUUGGUUGUGCUGCUGGUUGUCUCAUCAUUCCUCCUUUGAACCUCUGGUUUGUUGUCUUUCUUUGAUAGCAAGCUGUGUUUUGUUUUGGGUCAAAGGGAAAGUAAGAAUAUGACUGAUAGCAUUUAAAGAACAGGAGGGAGAAACACACUUUAUGGACUUAUUUGACACGAAUCAUUGACCUAACGCCCAAAAAAUGCAAUUAAAAAGUGUAUCUCUCCCUUAUUUGCAUGGCCUAUUUCCCCAGACAUAUUUUUGGUAUUGAAAAUGAAUGGUAUUCCCAUACAACAUGUGUCUCAAUUUGUAAUGAUAUCCUCCUUGCAGCUGGCUUAGUUCUCCAAGUGUUUCUAAAAUGUUACUGUCUUAAAUUUGAGCCAACCUACAAUAACAAAUUAUCUAGAAGCAAAGUGGCUAAGCUGCAUUUGGUGAGAGAAGGGGAAACCCUAUAUUUCGUCCUUCAACUCUUGUUUUGGAAAUUCAGGCUGUAACGUGAUCUUUUUCUAGGGAAAUCUACACACGCACACUUUAAAAAUUGUGCAGAUUGGGUGUUGUGGGAGCAAGAAUGAUCAGGUUCAAGUUUCUCUGCAAAGUUCUGCAUCCCAUCAACAAGCCCUUUUGAUAUUUUAAACCCGUACUUAGAGUAAUUUCAAGAUAUUUGGAGCACAUGUGGUUAAAUGUAAAACUUUGUCAUUAUGAUUUGUUAGAUGCUUAUACUUUAAAUAUUUAUAAGCCAUUUUUAAGUACUUUAUCCAAAAGCUUUCUCCCAUUAGACUGCUGUACUGGAGUGGUAUCUGAGCAUCAUGAUAUAUGGAAGAUACCAGGGGGAUGUCACUGCAGUGUGCAUGCGCAUUCUUCCUGCUUUUCUGGUUUUAAUUCAAGUGACGUUUUUAGUAGAUUUCAGCUUAUUUAAAAAAUGUAUAAAAACUCAUAAACAGGGUUGGUUGUCUGUGAUUAAAAAAAAAAUUACCCAGUCCCCCAAAAGUAAAAUGUCCAACUUGAAUCACGCUGAGUCCCACCUCUUUUUCUUAUCCUGAGUAAUUAGUAAAACUUUCCGUUAGGGUGUUGGAUCUGGAUCUGUGUCCACCUUAAACUUAAAGUGUCACAUUGUUCCUCCGAAAUGUCUUAGGGACAACUUAUUGGUGGCUAGAUUGAAUUCUUACUAUUCACCUUCAGCCAUCUUGGGAACUAAGACGUAGGACCGUGGCUUUACCAUAGGGAGUCUGUUCGUGCACUUAAUGUGAAAGAGAGGAGAGGAAAAAACACUUUUUCCAAAUUCAGAAUCCAUUUAAGCUUCGGAGGUUAUAAAUUUCAAACUGACCACAGACCUCUGGGGCUCACACUCUUUUAUGGCUGGCAAAAUACAACUUUCUGGGAAGAACGGGGGAAAAGAAGGCUUAGAAGGGCUCAUAAACCUGCUUGGACAUCUAAUCGCUUGUACCAAGCAGCGUUUUCAUGAGUUAAGUGUAAAUGAGUCAGAAACAUAUAGAUUGAAUUUCUUUUAAAAUACACAUGGGUUUAAAAAUUAAGGCCACAGUGCUUGGCAAAAUAAGUUUUGGUUUUAGCCAAACCCCAGAAGUUUGAAAAAAUAGUUCUACAAUUUGCCAAACCAAAAAUACAUCCAGGUCCCUCCAUCCUCUCAUCUAAUACAAUGGCAUCAUAAACAUGGGGCUUAAUGUCUAUUUUCAAAUCAAGGUUUGAACAACAUGAAUCCCAGAUGCUAAUUGAAAACCUAUGAAAAAGUUUUUGUGGGAAAACAUUAUGAACGUAC
rnacentral:lncRNA from 1 species